rnacentral:rRNA from 1 species
GACAGAGGGUGCAAACGUUGUUCGGAAUUACUGGGCGUAAAGCGUGUGUAGGCGGUCUCGUAAGUCAGGUGUGAAAGCCCCGGGCUCAACCCGGGAAGUGCACUUGAUACUGCGAGACUUGAGUACUGGAGAGGUUGGUGGAAUUCUCGGUGUAGAGGUGAAAUUCGUAGAUAUCGAGAGGAACACCGGUGGCGAAGGCGGCCAACUGGACAGAUACUGACGCUGAGACACGAAAGCGUGGGGAGCAAACAGG